rnacentral:tRNA from 2 species
GCAGAGAUAGUCAAGCAUGGCCAACGACGUUAGAUUCAGGGUCUAAUCCCUAGCGGUCCACGGGUUCGAAUCCCGCUCUCUGCACCA